rnacentral:rRNA from 1 species
UGUCGGGGUAACGGCCCAACAAGCCAGUAAUCGGUACGGGUUGUGGGAGCAAGAGCCCGGAGUUGGAUUCUGAGACACGAAUCCAGGCCCUACGGGGCGCAGCAGGCGCGAAAACUUUACAAUGCGGGCAACCGUGAUAAGGGAACCUCGAGUGCCUGUAUAUGCAGGCUGUCUGGGUGUCUAAAACACACCUAAAGAAAGGGCCGGGCAAGACCGGUGCCAGCCGCCGCGGUAAUACCGGCGGCUCGAGUGGUGGCCACUUUUAUUGGGCUUAAAGCGUUCGUAGCUGGGUUAUUAAGUCCCUUGGGAAAUCCGACGGCUUAACCGUCGGGCGUCUAAGGGAUACUGGCAAUCUUGGAACCGGGAGAGGUGAGGGGUACUCCGGGGGUAGGAGUGAAAUCCUGUAAUCCUCGAGGGACCACCUGUGGCGAAGGCGCCUCACCAGAACGGCUUCGACAGUGAGGGACGAAAGCUGGGGGAGCAAACCGGAUUAGAU